GAGACAUAACAAGAAAUGCCACACAAACAGGGGGAGUGGAAGAGGGAGAAGCAGGCUUCCUGCUGAACAGAUAGCCCUAUAUGGGGCUCAAUCCCAGGACCCUGGAUCAAGACCUGAGCCGAAGACAGACCAUUAACGACUGAGCCAUCCAGGCGCCCCUAAUUCCAGGUUCUAUCUCUUGUCAAGGUCUGUAAUGAUAUUCCCUUGUUGACCUAAAAAGAAGUAAACCAAGGAAAGCUCAAAACUGUCAAAAAGAUGAGUUUAUUUGGGAAUAACAGAACUUGUAAUUUGUAAUUUGGAACACACAAACUGUAUUAAGAUACAGAGAAUUUCUUCAAACCAUUCUUUGGGUCAUUCUGCUGGCAAUGAAUUCUGGUUUUCUUCAUCUGAAAAUAUCUGACUUUCCUUUUAUUUUUAGAGGGUAUUUUCAUUGGAUAUAGAAUUCUGGAUCAACAGUUCUUUUUUUUUUUUUUUUUUUUCCAGCAUGAAAAAAUGUUAUUCCACUACCUUCUGACAUUAUGUAUCCCCCAACACUGAGGAAUCCAUUCUCAUUCAAAUUGUUUACCUUUAUAAGUAAGGUGGCAUUUUUCUUUCACUUUUAAAAUACACUUUAUUUUUGGGCACCUGGGUGGCUCAGUGUGUUAAGCCGCUGCCUUCCGUUCAGGUCAUGAUCCCAGCGUCCUGGGAUAGAGACCCGCAUUGGGCUCUCUGCUCAGGAGGGAUCCUGCUUCCCCCUCUCUCUCUCUGCCUGUCUCUGCCUGAUUGUGAUCUCUCUGUCAAAUAAAUAAAUAAAAUC